AGAGAAAAACUCUUUGUGAGAGAUGUUUUGGCAUGCCAUACAAAAUGGAACCCAACUGUAGCACAAAAUGUAACACAGGAUGCACUUUUCACUCUAACAGUGAACCACAGGAACAUAAUGUGAAAUGUCCCUCUCAAGGGAAACCCACUUGAGUAUCAUGUCUGAGCAUUGACAGAAAGCUGAUCAUGUAGCCAUUUUACCUGCACGGACAACCACAGGGAAUGAAACUCAGGACUCCAGCAGUGACAUCAGAACACUUAAGCUGCUCCAUCAUCACUAGUGCCAUUAUCCAGCUGAUAACAACAGACUGAUACAACACCAUUUCCUAAUAAAGAUCAGACUGUAAUGGAAGAGUACAACCAGGCCCUCGAAACAUGAGAGCAGGAGAUAAACCUUUUCCACCAUGACAUGAUGCUCCUCCACGUGUGGCAAAGCAUCACUGCUUCUGUCUUGGGGCACAAAGAGUAACCAGACUUUAUGCAGGGAAUGGACAUUAGGCUGGGGGAGGAGGGGGCUUAUUCCUAGUUCCAAAAGAAAGGUUUACAAAUACAGAACAAACAAAAACCUAAAAAAAUAAUCAUUUCUUGAAUGUGUAGAGCUAAUUUUUCUAAUUAAGCCAGAAUUUUCUCUCCAAGGAACUGAUAAUUGGAAACUU